GUGCCAGCCGCCGCGGUAAGACGUAGGUGGCGAACGUUAUCCGGAAUUAUUGGGCGUAAAGGGUGCGUAGAUGGCAUGAUAAGUUAUUGGUGGUAAAUCGAGGCUCAACCUCGUGGAAACUAAUAAUACUGUUUUGCUUGAGUACAGGAGAGGUUAACGGAACUCCAUGUGGAGCGGUAAAAUGCGUAGAUAUAUGGAAGAACAUCAAUAAUGGCGAAGGCAGUUAACUAUUCUGUUACUGACGUUGAGGGCACGAAAGCGUGGGGAGCAAAACGGAUUAGAAACCCUGGUAGUCC
rnacentral:rRNA from 1 species